AACGAACGCUGGCGGCAGGCUUAACACAUGCAAGUCGAACGAUCCUUCGGGAUAGUGGCAGACGGGUGAGGAACACGUGGGAACAUCCCCUUCAGUUCGGAAUAACGUUGGGAAACUAACGCUAAUACCGGAUACGUCCUUCGGGAGAAAGAUUUAUCGCUGAAAGAUUGGCCCGCGUCUGAUUAGCUAGUUGGUGAGGUAACGGCUCACCAAGGCUACGAUCAGUAGCUGAUCUGAGAGGAUGAUCAGCCACAUUGGGACUGAGACAUGGCCCAAACUCCUACGGGAGGCAGCAGUGGGGAAUAUUGGACAAUGGGCGCAAGCCUGAUCCAGCCAUGCCGCGUGAGUGAUGAAGGCCUUCGGGUUGUAAAGCUCUUUUGUCCGGGAAGAUAAUGACUGUACCGGAAGAAUAAGCCCCGGCAAACUUCGUGCCAGCCGCCGCGGUAA
rnacentral:rRNA from 1 species